rnacentral:rRNA from 1 species
ACGUAGGGUGCAGGCGUUAAUCGGAAUUACUGGGCGUAAAGCGUGCGCAGGCGGUCUGCUAAGAGAGGUGUGAAAUCCCCCGGCUUAACCUGGGAACUGCGUCUGAUACUGGACGGCUUGAGUUUGGGAGAGGGAUGCGGAAUUCCAGGUGUAGCGGUGAAAUGCGUAGAUAUCUGGAGGAACACCGGUGGCGAAGGCGGCAUCCUGGACCGGCAUUGACGCUGAGGCGCGAAAGCCAGGGGAGCAAACGGGA